UGGUACAGGUACACUCCCAUGUGGUAUAGAUACACUCACGGGUGUGGUAUACACUCAGGUGUGUGGUACAGGUACACUCUGGAGUGGUAUAGAUACACUCAGGUGUGUGAUACAGGUACACCCAGGUGUGUGGUACAGGUACACUCUGAGGUGGUGUAGAUACACUCAGGGGUGUGGUACAGAUACACUCUGGUGUGAUGUAGAUACACUCAGGUGUGGUAUAGAUACACUCAGGUGUGUGGUACAGGUACACUCGUGUGGUGUAGAUAUACUCAGGUGUGGUAUAGAUACACUCAGGUGUGUGGUACAGGUACACUGGCGUGGUGUAGAUAAACUCAGGUGUGGUAUAGUUAUACUCAGGUGUGUGGUACAGGUACACUCAGGUGUGGUAUAGAUACACUCAGGUGUGCAGUACAGGUACACUCAGAUGUGUGGCACCAACCCUCGCAGUGAGAGCCAAGGGUUUGGUCAGUGGAGGCUCAGUUUGGGAGAUGGUGGUCAGUGGGGGACUUGGGCGGCCAGUCGGGGCUGUGGUGUCUUGCAGGGGUGGGUACAUGGCUAUGCUUCUUGAAGGCCCAAAAGGCUGGUGGGCUUAAGAGGUUGGGGGGUC